CGCUGGCAGUGGCGGCCAUCAGCCUCGUCCUCCUGGCUGCAGGCAGCUGGUUUGCCAUCAGGAAAGGUGCCUGCAGAGGGAGAUGCCCAAGGCAGCAGCACGUUGACAGUCCACAGAUGGAAAACAC